rnacentral:lncRNA from 1 species
GCCACCCAGGUGCCCCUGAGAAAUUUCAUUUUUGAUCUUUUUCCUGCCCCAGACUUUGUGAAUUUAACCCCAUCACUUUUUUAAUUAUAGAAAGACAACUUUGGCGGUGGUGACGGAGGGGGCAUCAAUGUUGUAGCCGUACCAAGACUGCAGUUCAGAGCUACCACUUCUAUUCCACUGGCUACCACGGACACCACACAGCUGGCCACUGCUUCCCCACUUGUGGAAAAAUGUGUAAUGGUGACCAGUAGGAGAGAAAGUACACUCAGUCUGGGUUGCUUCCCAGGUAAGAUCACGGACAGAUCCAAGCCUAAAGAGUAUUAAAAAUAAAGGUAGCAGAUAUUUUGAGAAGGUAUCCUAUAAAAUAAUGAGUCAUGUUUUCAGGAAGUACUGAGGUCAUCUCUUCAGAUGGUAGGCUAGGUUGAACUUCUUCUUAGUUAGCUGAUGUGAAUAAUUUGUGAAGUUUUAAAUAAUUCUGGUGCAAAAGGUCUUCUCUUUUCUCUUUUUUCCCCUAGAGUUUUAUUUCACCUGAGGUAGUGGAUCAAAUGAAAGUAGAUUACAAGUCCCUUCAUCAGUAAAAACUAAUUUGGAGACAGCGCUGGAAAGCUCAUUAAUGGCGUGGGGCUGGGAAGGCUAGGAUGGACUUUGACUAGUUAACGUCUCAUAGAAGGGAGGAAAGCCAUGACGGGUUAAGCAUUAACCAAUAUAUAAGACUUAUCCCCAAGUAAAAUAGAUAAUGCUUAUCCAUCAUUUGUUCUAACUAUAUUAANNNNNNN